GCGGAAGUAGUUCAGUGGUAGAAUACAACCUUGCCAAGGUUGGGGUCGCGGGUUCGAACCCCGUCUUCCGCUCCA
rnacentral:tRNA from 17 species